GUGGGGUGAUGGCCUACCAAGGCGACGACGGGUAGCUGGUCUGAGAGGACGACCAGCCACACUGGGACUGAGACACGGCCCAGACUCCUACGGGAGGCAGCAGUGGGGAAUCUUGCACAAUGGGCGAAAGCCUGACGCAGCGACACCGCGUGGGGGAUGAAGGCCUUUCAGGUCGUAAACCCCUUUCGGCAGGGACGAAGCGAUCUCGUGACGGUACCUGCAGAAGAAGCCUCGGCUAACUACGUGCCAGCAGCCGCGGUAACACGUAGGAGGCGAGCGUUGUCCGGAAUCAUUGGGCGUAAAGAGCGCGCAGGCGGCUUGGCAAGUCGGGUGUGAAAUCCCGGGGCUCAACCCCGUGACUGCAUCCGAUACUGUCAGGCUAGAGGUAGGUAGGGGAGAUCGGAAUUCCUGGUGUAGCGGUGAAAUGCGCAGAUAUCAGGAGGAACACCGGUGGCGAAGGCGGAUCUCUGGGCCUUACCUGACGCUCAGGCGCGAAAGCUAGGGGAGCGAACAGGAUUAGAUACCCUGGUAGUCCUAGCCGUAAACGUUGGGUGCUAGGUGUGGGCGGAUAUCAACCCCGUCCGUGCCGAAGCUAACGCAUUAAGCA
rnacentral:rRNA from 1 species